UACGUAGGGUGCGAGCGUUGUCCGGAAUUACUGGGCGUAAAGAGCUCGUAGGUGGUUUGUCGCGUUGUUCGUGAAAACUCACAGCUCAACUGUGGGCGUGCGGGCGAUACGGGCAGACUGGAGUACUGCAGGGGAGACUGGAAUUCCUGGUGUAGCGGUGGAAUGCGCAGAUAUCAGGAGGGAACACCCGGUGGCGAAGGCGGGUCUCUGGGCAGUAACUGA
rnacentral:rRNA from 1 species